GCUCGGUGGUCAAACGACUUGUCUUGUGCACAGGGUCAUCACAGUGAACUCAUGAGAGAGGAAAGAAGAGCACUGCACUCAUCUGCACUCAGCUGCCUCUACAUCUGCAGGUAAAAGCCGAGCAUGGGAAAUCUCCACAUCCCUGUGUGACAGGAGCCACUUCUGAUGUCGUGGCGAUCAGGCCCCCCACUUAGUGUAUUUGGCAAGCUGAGUUGGACACUCUGUAUCAGCGAGUGUCAGUUUGUCAAAUACCCCAAGUGAGGUGUCACUUGUCUUCAAACCAAGGUCGUCCUGGGUCACAGUCGCCUCUGCAACCUGAAGAUACGGACAACAUCACGGCAAGACGUUUUUCUAGCAAAACCAGGUAUAAUGUAGUUUAUACUUGUAUAGAAGUGAAAGUGCUCAUGGUGUAUCAUGCAUUCAUUAGUCAUGUGAUUCUAAAUAUCUCACCAACAAAGUCUACAAUGUCUUCAUUGAUAUAAAGCACAUGCAAAUACAGUAUUCAUUUUGUAAAACAACCAGUAACUCUGGAAAAGUACUAUAUAAAAAAAGAUAUAUAAUAAAUAAUAAUGAAUGUUAA